rnacentral:rRNA from 1 species
GUGGGGAAUUUUGGACAAUGGGCGAAAGCCUGAUCCAGCAAUGCCGCGUGCAGGAUGAAGGCCUUCGGGUUGUAAACUGCUUUUGUACGGAACGAAAAAGCUCCUUCUAAUACAGGGGGCCCAUGACGGUACCGUAAGAAUAAGCACCGGCUAACUACGUGCCAGCAGCCGCGGUAAUACGUAGGGUGCGAGCGUUAAUCGGAAUUACUGGGCGUAAAGCGUGCGCAGGCGGUUAUGUAAGACAGAUGUGAAAUCCCCGGGCUCAACCUGGGAACUGCAUUUGUGACUGCAUGGCUAGAGUACGGUAGAGGGGGAUGGAAUUCCGCGUGUAGCAAUGAAAUGCGUAGAUAUGCGGAGGAACACCGAUGGCGAAGGCAAUCCCCUGGACCUGUACUGACGCUCAUGCACGAAAGCGUGGGGAGCAAACAGGAUUAGAAACCCGAGUAGUCC